rnacentral:rRNA from 1 species
UACGGAGGGUGCAAGCGUUAUUCGGAUUUAUUGGGCGUAAAGAGCGUGUAGGCGGUUGGGUAAGUCAGAUGUGAAAGCCUUCCGCUCAACGGAAGAAGUACAUCUGAAACUGCCCGACUUGAGUACGAGAGAGGAAAGUGGAAUUCCCAGUGUAGAGGUGAAAUUCAUAGAUAUUGGGAGGAACACCUGUGGCGAAGGCGACUUUCUGGAUCGAUACUGACGCUGAGACGCGAAAGCGUGGGGAGCAAACAGGAUUAGAUACCCGCGUA